GUCGAUGCUUAGGAAGUAUAUACCUGACCCUCAUAGACUUAUUCAACCUCAGGAGGUUGAGAUAGACGAGGAACUAUCUUAUGAGGAAGAACCCGUAGAAAUUGUGGAUACCCAGAUUAGGAAACUCCGUAGUAAGGAGAUACCUAUGGUAAAAGUGCUCUGGAGGAGCCGUACAAUUGAGGAAUGUACGUGGGAAACAGAGGCGGAUAUGCGGAAACGAUAUCCCCACUUGUUUACUCAAGGUAAUAGUUUGUUUUGAAAUUCGAGGACGAAUUUCUUAUAAGGAGGGGUGAAUGUAAUACCCCGUAGAAUUAUUAGCGUUUAUUUUCGUGUGUGUCCGAUUUUAAUUGAUUAGGACCUCGAAAAUAGUGAAUAAAUUCACGUGAUGAAUUUAUAAGGGUAAAAAUGUGAUUUGCUAUGUGUUUGCCUUAAAUGUGAUUUUUGGCAAUUUUACGUGUUAAAAGUGAAUUUUGUGAUUUUUCACUAAAAACCGUAAAAAUAAUUAUUUUAAAUAUUUUUAAAAGCCCAAAAAUAUUUUAAAAACAGCCCAUAUGAUAUGAUUUAAUGUUUUUGAAUAUUUGGUAAAGUUGAAAUUAUUUUGCCCCUAGAGUUCGAAUUAUUUACAAGAAUGCCAUAAUGGCAAACUUGUAAAUAAUUGAAACUUCAAAUAAAUAUCUAGAUAUUUUCCUAAGCUAAACUUGGUGCCCAAGUCUCUAUUUCAUCUUCUCCAUUUGAGUGUGGGUGCCGAACCAUUCAAGCUCAAAACACAAAAAUUUAUCCUUUGAUUUUCUCUCAAAAUUUUCUUAACGGAAAUUGACGAGGAGCUUACGUAGAUCAUUAAUCUAUAUUUGCAUGUUCGUUUGAGAUCCAGCGAGUUUUGUCGCGGAAACCGGCGAGCAAAGGUUUUGAUUAAUCGACGGGUGGUAUUUUUAUAUUUGGAAUAAGCGAGUACUGUGAGUGUGUUUACAACUUAUACUGCUAAAUAUUAGUAUUAAAAAUAUUGCGAACUGCUUUACAUGAUUUGCAAAUGCUUUAUUUUAUUUUGAAUUUAAAUCGCAUGAACUAUUCAUAGUGUUGAAACCGAUUUAGAUUCAUUGAAACAUGCUUACUAUUGGGCGGCAAUAGUGCUGUGUGAUCACCGGUAUUGCAUUUAGAAUGGGUUGCAUGUGAAUGUGCUGUGUGAAUCCUGGCGACGGCCUGGAAAGUCAGGCGACGGCCUAGACUCUGUGUGAACAGAUCUUCAGAGGCAACGGAAUAUAGACGACCAAAGGCAGUAAAGAGAAACUGCCGAGAUCUGAGAGGUUGAACCUUUUAAAAAAGUGAAAUGGCGACGGUAUAUAUAUGUACUGCCGAAAUCUGUUGUAUGGUGAAAGAGUCUAAAGACCUUCACAUACGUAAAAUAUGAAUGAUCAGAUUUGACGGGCUAGAGUACAAAAAGAAAUGAAUAAAUACGGCCAUAAAAAGGUUAACCCGUAAUGUGGUGAAAUGAUGUGUAAUAUUUAUGUUUCCUGUUUUGAAAGCAUAUAGGAACAUGAAUCAUGGUUUAGGGUUUCAUAUGAAUCGGUAAUCUGGAAUGCAUUGCUUUCAUAUUAAUGUUUAUUAGUACAUGUUGUACGCAUUCACCAGUUUUUAUAACUGACCCCGUUGAAUUUAAUAUUUUUACAGGCGAGUAGUUUGACGUGUGGAUUUCCAAUUUCUUGUUCCGGAAAUCCCUGGCUUGUAUAAAGUGAGAAUGACUUUCCUUUAUGUGUCUAGAGUUGCAGUAGCUAGAAUAAUGAACGGUGAUACCUUAGUAGUCGUUGGACUUAUUUAUGCUUUAUAUUUUAUAACGCUUAAACUCUGAUAUAUGUAAUAUGUGAAUGCUGUGCGAAAGUCCGAGCGACUGCACGAGUAUAAAAUGCGGCGAGCGCAUCUGCAUAGUGAAAUGCAGUUAAGUCCAUAGAGAAAUGGCCUGCAUAGUGAAAUGCAGUAAUUACCAUAGUAAAAUGGUACGCAUAUUGAGAUGCGUGAUAAACCAUAGAGAAAUGGUUUUGAAACUAAAAUGCGAUAAUUAAAGAGAAAAUUAUGUGCAUGUUUUAAA